GAUGAAGAACGUAGCGAAAUGCGAUAAGUAAUGUGAAUUACAGAAUUCAGUGAAUCAUCGAAUCUUUGAACGCACAUUGCGCCCGCCAGUAUUCUGGCGGGCAUGCCUGUCCGAGCGUCAUUUCAACCCUCAGGCCCUGGUUGCCUGGUGUUGGGGCGCCGCGCACCCUCUGCGGGCGCGGGCCCCGAAAGUCAGUGGCGGGCUCGCCAGGACUCCGAGCGCAGUAAUUUUCUCUCGCUGUGGAGCGCCUGGUGGGUUACCAGCCGUAAAACACCCCAAAUUCUAAAGGUUGACCUCGGAUCAGGUAGGAAUACCCGCUGAACUUAAGCAUAUCAAUAAGCGGAGGA
rnacentral:misc_RNA from 1 species